rnacentral:piRNA from 1 species
UGGGAAUUCAGAGAAGCAGAAGACUUCUCAG